UACAGAGGGUGCAAGCGUUAAUCGGACUUAUUGGGCGUAAAGGGCGCGUAGGCGGUUGUAUAAGUGGGUUGUGAAAUAGCUGGGCUUAACCUGGCGAUUGCAAUCCAGACUGUAGAACUCGAAACCAGCAGAGGAAAGUGGAAUUUCCGGUGUAGCGGUGAAAUGCGUAGAUAUCGGAAAGAACAUCAAUGGCGAAGGCAGCUUUCUGGGCUGAGAUUGACGCUGAGGCGCGAAAGCGUGGGUAGCGAACAGG
rnacentral:rRNA from 1 species